UACGUAGGGGGCAAGCGUUGUCCGGAUUUAUUGGGCGUAAAGAGCGUGUAGGCGGCCAGCCAGGUCCGUUGUGAAAACUAGAGGCUUAACCUCUAGACGUCGAUGGAAACCGUCUGGCUAGAGUCCGGAAGAGGAGAAUGGAAUUCCUGGUGUAGCGGUGAAAUGCGCAGAUAUCAGGAAGAACACCCGUGGCUAAGGCGGUUCUCUAGUACGGUACUGACGCUGAGACGCGAAAGCGUGGGGAGCGAACAGG
rnacentral:rRNA from 1 species